rnacentral:lncRNA from 1 species
GUCCUAAUACCAAGUUAUGUUUUAGAAGUAUAGGUCAAUGUGACCUCAUUACUUUGUUCUUUUUUCUGUGUUAUAGAAAAUCUAUUUAUGAUGUAUUUGUAGCAAAUAUUGAUUUAAGUGUCCAGUAUUGUCAUUGACAGGAAAAGUUUUCUGUAGAUGUUUUUUUUUCUUUCUUCCGUUAAACAUUGUGCAGCCUGAAAGUGUCACAAACUAAUGAUACUAUGAAAUUAGUAAGGGGACAAUUAACUAUUGAAAGAUACUUCUGUAAAGCUGUAGGUUAUCUAACGGGGUUUUGAUCUCACAUGCUCCUCUUUUGAGGGAACAAGCUGACUCUUGUGUCAAUAUGUAGUCUGUGUGUGCUAUAAAUUUAGUCCAUUCAGUCAUUCAAUGUUAUGGUAUUACUUCAAUCAAAACUGCAUAGUAUAACUCAUUCUUAAACCAGUUUAUUUUUUCAUGUAAAAGGUUUUUG